CAGCCGGCCGCCACCGGGGCUGGGAACACCUUCCUGAGGGAAACCCGGGCACCUCGGGACAAACCCGGGCACCUCGGGACAAGGCCGGGCCGCCUGUGAGAGAAACCCGGGCAUGGCACCCAGCCGGUUUGAGGGAAAGGCGAGCACACUCCCACGACGCCUGUGAGGCGCUGCGAGGAGGGAGCCUGGGGAUCUGCUCUAAACCAUGUUUUCUGGAGGUGCUGGCACAGCAGACGCCGCAGUUCCAGCCCUGCGGAGGCCGCCGGCUCCCUCAGCUCGCGCUGUGGUGGCUGAGGCGGGGGGUGGCCCGGGACAGCCGCUGCCCUUCACUGUUAACUGCGGCACGGUUUCAGCCCUGUCUCCGUGAGGUGAGGUGGCUGACAGGUGUCCAAGAGGAGGUGAAAUUUAGGAGGUCGACACAAAAUGUGUCAGGGAAACUUGCCUUUCUGCUUAUCAUAUCAGCCUUUCUUCCUGUGCCACGGAGAUAACACACACACCUGCUGCUCAGAGAGGAGGCCACUCAGGGGCUGUAAUAUUACCAGAACAGGUAUCCUUGAGAUGACUUGCCAGCUGCCAGCCAGCAGCACCGUGUGCGCUGUGUGUAACCCUGCUCAGCCAGCCAGCAGCCCAGACAAAUUGCUUUCCAAGCUGUGUAACACCAGGCUGAAACAGAGGAAAAUGUGAGUACAGUACGUACAAACCUGACAGCAGAGCAAGAAAAGCAUUAGACAGUAGCCAGUUCCAAAAUGAUCAGGUGGCACCUCUGUUUGCCAGACAUAGACAAACACACAUGGAAAUAGGAAAAUAAACUUUGGGAAACAUUUUGAACAUCAGAAUAAACCAAUUGCACAGCUGCUUUUUUUUUCCCCCCCUCUAAUUGGAUGUCCUUGUAAAACUCUAACCUACAGGAAGAUAACAAAUAGGAAACAAUGAGAACUUGGAGAUCAAGAGUCACAGCAGCCAGAGUCACCUUUAGACAAAGCAACUCUGGCUGGUUUCCUUUACCUGUGGGAAGGAGCUCAGCCCAUGGAUUGAGUUUCCUGGGUAUUUGUCAUCAGAAUGUGGCAUAUCUGGAGAAACCAAGUACUGGGAAUCCUUCCAAUGCCUCUCAAUGGAAGGAACCGUUAAUCUAUGGUGGCAUUGAUUUUAAAACCCUGUGUACUCCAUUACAGCCUCAACUAACCCACCUUAAUGGGAAAAUGAUCACAGUUUAUCCCUUGCUUAUAGCUAAUAGAACAUAAUAACUUGAACUGUUCAUAGGAUUAUCCUUUGUUAUAAUGUCAAACUCAGAACCAUUUACUACACUAAAAUCUAAAAAAAGAUGUACAGCCACAAAGAAGCAGUUCUCUGUUCUCCAGUGCGCUGGCAAACUUUGUAAUUUGGAUUUACUAAAACUGCAUACACACACAGAGGCACAAAUUGUUUCAGUUUAGCAAUUUCAGAUAUCCAGUUCUUUGAUAUGGAUAUAGAAAAUAUGUUUAUAUGUGAGGGAAUCUUCUUAUGAGUUGAGUAUUACACUGACUGUGGGUCAACACUGGAUUUGGAUGGCAUUUGGUCUGUGCAUGCUACCUGCUCUGGGCUUUCCUUUCUUUCCUGGUUUAUACUUCACUAAAAAUAAACAACACUAACAUUCACUGAGGAAUGUUUUCAUAAAUCUGCACAAAGGAGUCAUCUAAAUCUCAUACAAAGUAAAAGGAAAGCCUCACAGACUUCACAGCAUCCCUGACCUUUCCCUCACACCUGCUCUCCUCCUCCUACGCGCCCAUGGAUGCAGAGGCAGAAGAUUUUCAAGGCAGGAAAACAAAGGGAGGCAUCCGAGUCCUUCAUCCUGGGUCACAUCCCUGCUUCAACAAGAUACCAUUUAACCUCAGCCUGAACCUGAUUUCCAUGGGCCAUGGGAACAGUUACAUAACAAUGAACAGUUGAAACACAAACAGACAAAGACUUUACAAAUCAAAGCAAAGGUAAAUUGUUAACUGUUAUUUUUUAAAAAUUCCUUUUGUCAGUAGCUUAUCUUGAACUAAAUACUA